rfam:Gossypium arboreum cultivar AKA8401 contig_20113_3, whole genome shotgun sequence.
UGUUAAAAAAUAUAUAUAUUUGUACUGAUAAAAACUGGGUGGUUGAUGGAAUAACUAGAUAGUGACGUGCCAUUAGUUCCUUAUGUUGACAUACAAAGACCAAUUUUUAAUAGUAUAAAUGGAUGAAAUUUUUAACC